UACAGGGGGGGCAAGCGUUGUUCGGAAUUACUGGGCGUAAAGGGUCUGUAGGUGGCCAACUAAGUCAGACGUGAAAUCCCUCAGCUUAACUGGGGAACUGCGUCUGAUACUGGAUGGCUCGAGUGUGGGAGAGGAAUGCGGAAUUCCAGGUGUAGCGGUGAAAUGCGUAGAUAUCAGGAGGAACACCUAUAGCGAAGGCAGCUCGCUGGGACGGUACUGACGCUGAGGCGCGAAAGCGUGGGGAGCGAACAGG
rnacentral:rRNA from 1 species